rnacentral:tRNA from 1 species
ACCGAAAUAGCUAAGUUGGGAGAGCGAUAGAUUAUAGAUCUAAAGGUCCCUGGUUGGACUCCGGGAUUAGGCA